AUUGAACGCUGGCGGCAUGCCUUACACAUGCAAGUCGAACGGCAGCACGGGUGCUUGCACCUGGUGGCGAGUGGCGAACGGGUGAGUAAUACAUCGGAACAUGUCCUGUAGUGGGGGAUAGCCCGGCGAAAGCCGGAUUAAUACCGCAUACGAUCUACGGAUGAAAGCGGGGGACCUUCGGCCUUGGCGCUAUGGGGUUGCCGAUGGGUGAUUAGCUAGUUGGUGGGGUAAAGGCCUACCAAGGCGACGAUCAGUAGCUGGUCUGAGAGGACGACCAGCCACACUGGGACUGAGACACGGCCCAGACUCCUACGGGAGGCAGCAGUGGGGAAUUUUGGACAAUGGGCGAAAGCCUGAUCCAGCAAUGCCGCGUGUGUGAAGAAGGCCUUCGGGUUGUAAAGCACUUUUGUCCGGAAAGAAAUCCUUGGCCCUAAUACGGUCGGGGGAUGACGGUACCGGAAGAAUAAGCACCGGCUAACUACGUG
rnacentral:rRNA from 1 species